rnacentral:rRNA from 1 species
GACGAACGCUGGCGGUGUGCUUAACACAUGCAAGUCGAACGGUAAGGCCCUUUCGGGGGUACACGAGUGGCGCACGGGUGAGUAACACGUGAGUAACCUGCCCUCAUCUCUGGGAUAACAGUCGGAAACGGUUGCUAAUACUGGAUAUGAGCUUGCAAGGCAUCUUGUGGGUUGGAAAGAUUUUUUUGGUUGGGGAUGGACUCGCGGCCUAUCAGCUUGUUGGUGAGGUAGUGGCUCACCAAGGCUUCGACGGGUAGCCGGCCUGAGAGGGCGACCGGCCACAUUGGGACUGAGAUACGGCCCAAACGCCUACGGGAGGCAGCAGUGGGGAAUAUUGCACAAUGGACGGAAGUCGGAUGCAGCAACGCCGCGUGCGGGAGGACGGCCUUCGGGUUGUAAACCGCUUUCAAUUGUGACGAAGCUUUUUGUGACGGUAGCAGUAGAAGAAGCACCGGCUAACUACGUG